CAAGUUGAGCGGAGGUAGAUGGAGCUUGCUCUAUGUACCUUAGCAGCGAACGGGUGAGUAACACGUAGAUAAUCUGUCCUAUAUUGGGGGAUAGCCCGAUGAAAGUUGGAUUAAUACCGCAUACAGCUAUAUAGUUGCAUGAUUAUAUAGUGAAAGAUUUAUUGAUAUAGGAGGAGUCUGCGGCACAUUAGCUAGUAGGUGAGGUAAGAGCUUACCUAGGCGACGAUGUGUAGCCGGUCUGAGAGGAUGAACGGCCACAAUGGAACUGAGACACGGUCCAUACUCCUACGGGAGGCAGCAGUGGGGAAUAUUGCACAAUGGGGGAAACCCUGAUGCAGCAACGCCGCGUGAGUGAAGAAGGUUUUCGGAUUGUAAAGCUCUGUUAGCAGGGAAGAGGAAGGACGGUACCUGCAGAGGAAGCCACGGCUAACUACGUGCCAGCAGCCGCGGUAAUACGUAGGUGGCAAGCGUUGUUCGGAAUAACUGGGCGUAAAGGAUGCGUAGGCGGUUAAAUAAGUUAUAUGUUAAAUAUAUAGGCUUAACCUGUAGAAAGCAUAUAAAACUGUUUAACUAGAGUGCAGGAGAGGUAGGUGGAAUUCCUAGUGUAGCGGUGAAAUGCGUAGAGAUUAGGAAGAACACCAGUGGCGAAGGCGACUUACUGGACUGUAACUGACGCUGA
rnacentral:rRNA from 1 species